ensembl:lncRNA
AUGGAAUGAAGUUUAUCAGAGCAAGAUGAACUUUGACCUGUAAAGCCUAAACAAGACUCGGGACAGGGAAAGAAUAAAAGCAAGGUAUGACCUACCACAGAGAGGACAAAGAGAUGACUCUGUAGCAGGACACAUCUGCAUGGUCCCCACCUCCCUGUCAAGCUAAAGGUCUGCCCUUCACGUGUCAUGGACAGCCACAACCACCAUGGAAGAGCAGAGACAGACAGAAACAUUAUUAUCUGUUUCAUCCUUAAAGAGAUCUCUCCUGCUGAUGUCUGGUCAUCAUGACAUAUUUGAACACCCAGCACCUUCACUGAAGUGGUGUGGUGGUGUCUUGAAAAAAAGAAAAAAAAAGGUGCAGAUAAAAGUGAAGAGAUACAGAGUUACAGUUUCUUUUUUAGAAGCUGUCAUGCUAUGGGAGAAGGUAAAUUGCCCAGCAUAGAGAUGGAUUAGUUGAAAUCACUGGGAUUCUUAAAGGAUUAAGAGGAUUCUGGCAUUUCCAUUGUGUUAGAGGACUGGCAGAGUUUGGGGCCAUUCAUCCAAAAAUAACAUAUGGCUUUUAACAGGGGGAGGAUGACAAAACGACAGCAGCACACUGACAGCUUGUUUAAAGACAACCAUUAACAGCAGACACUAUACAUAUUGAUGUUUUAGUAAUAAUUUCUGACAUCACACAAUCAAAUGGCUAAAAUUUACCUCUCAGUCUGUAAAUGCAUGCAGUCACUCCGGCCUGUGCUCAUUGCUGUAUGACACACUACAGCCGAGGUUAGGUUACACUCAUUUCAGCCUGUGCGCUGUAAUUGCAUGGUUGUGUUUCCCAUCAACCAAACCAUUUCCAAACUCAACUCUCAUUAAAUACAGUGGGCGGAAAUGUUUGCGUCUGAAUGUGAUGUUUAUGGGCUAUAUACGGAAAGAUGGCCUCAUCCACACAAUAACAAGACUGAAACUGGAUCUCUGAGUCUCGGGAAGUUUAGGAGGAAACUUGGGUUUUUUAACAAGCAAAAUUUAUUUCAGAGAUAAUGCUUUAUGAUUCAGUUUGUCAUCUCAAAUGAAUGAUAAGAAAUUUAGAAAUCUUUCCUAAGAGUUUGUUUAAAGUUUGGAAAGAGUGAAACUGAGUGGAAAU